AAAAAUUUAAAAAACGUAUUUAACUUUAUAUUUAAAAACCACAAGCAAAAGAAUACAGUAAACAAUAUGACUAUUAAUAUGCUCGAUGCAUAACAUACUUAAAUCCGAAACACAAACCAAGGGAGUAGCAAGUAGAGCUCCGCUAUGCGGAAUCUAUUCAGGGAGUCGCGUCCCUGCUCCUUAAGCGAGCUAAUAUGGAUAUCAAAAUAGAAAAGUUCUUGAUUCUGUCACUAAUGAUGACGUACAGGUUAUUAGAUAUGUUAUAAUUUUGCUCAUGAUAUAUUCUUUGAAUUGCGAAACGAAUUGACUUUUCAAAAAAAGAAACUCACGUUUCAAGAAAUUUCAUCUCCGGGUUAAAUCUAUUUCGAUACAAAUUAACCCUGGGAUAUGGCGAAAUAGGGAAUAAACAUUUGAAAUUUAAACACUCUAAAUAUACGUUAGAUGUACUUAUGCUUACAAUUUCUAUCUAUCUAUAGCCUGUCGUGACUACAGAAAUGUAAUGUAUGCUUUUCUCAAGACGUAAAAUUUAAAAAGUAAGACAAAAGAUUUUGAUUAUAAAGCAAAGAUAAAGACUCAAAAGUUCCAAGACACCGAGAUCACGACCUGUCGUGACUUUGAAUUUUAAAACUAAGAAAUAAACAAGUAGGCAUGGAGGCGAGACGUAUCAUGAUUACUGAAUUAUAAAAAAUGUAAAGACUACGUGAGUGAAAAAUGUAAACGUUAUAAAUAUAUUAAAGAUACAUAACAUUUAAAAUAUUAUAUCAAAUUUA